ensembl:lncRNA LINC01503 long intergenic non-protein coding RNA 1503
AUUCGAGGCGACGGGCUCCGGGCCCUGAUAGAUGGGGUGCGGGGACGGAGACAAAUGACGGCCUUUGGGCUCGGAAUACCCACCUUUCUGGUAAUGCAGCCCAGCGGGUCCCAGCCUCGUUUUCCAGCCCUCACUCAAAAUGGAGUCGCUCUGGUUCGAACGCCUCUGACAAGUGUGUACCUACGUGUCAGGGAGCCUGCUCACAUGACCGUGUGGAGAAAGUUCUUUCCCUGAGGACCAUCUGGAGUGGACGCGUGCACUACCCCUCUCUGAAUACACCCUCCCCACGAGGCCCUCUGGAGCAUCCUGUAGAGCCAGCCCCUACCCAGAGACCCUGAGCCCAGAGAAUGCGCUGGGUGGUGAGCCUGGGGACGAAUGCAGAGCCCUAGGUCUCCUCUCCAGAAAGACCGGAUUUUGCCAUGUUGGCCAGGCUGGUCUUGAACUCCUGACCUCAAGUGAUCCACCUGCCUCGGCCUCCCAAAGUGCAGGGAUUACAGGUGUGAGCCACUGCACCCGGCCUCAGGCAGGUAUUUUUACCAGCCGAAUACUCUUGCACUGUGCACUCUUCGUGUUCAUCAUCAGUCCCCCGGAUGGGUGUUUAAGGCAUUUCCAAAGCUCUGUUAUUAAAAACACGAUGCAAUGAGUUUCUUUCAGCA